CGAGUAUGAAUCAGUUUACUGUGGUAAUAAAAAUUAAGCUUUUUUUAUCAUUGUAUUUUGUUUAUACUCAUUCAGAUAUCUGCCAAAGUGCUAACAUUUCACUCGAGUGCUGUCCGGGAUAUGUAUGGAACACCACAGAAAAUAGAUGCAUAGAAUGUGAUGCUGGUAGAAUUGGACCUCAUUGUGACAAAGUUUGUCCGUACCCAGGGUUUGGAAUAAGAUGUCUCUCAAAAUGUAAUUGCAGUUUCGAUCAAUGCGAUCCCGCUGACGGGUGCCUUGAAUGUGAUGCUGGUAGAAUUGGACCUCAUUGUGACAAAGUUUGUCUGUACCCAGGGUUUGGAAUAAGAUGUCUCUCAAAAUGUAAUUGCAGUUUCGAUCAAUGCGAUCCCGCUGACGGGUGCCUUGAGUGGACCAGUGGGCCAACAACACAAUCACUAAUAUUUCAGAUAGAAAGGUUUACUACUUCAUCGCAAAGAGAAAGACCGAAACCUCCAUUAGUCAUCAUAUAUGCAGGAUUGGUAUUAUAUUAUACGAUUUCCUAAGUCCAGCAACUUCAAGUCAGGAUUAAGGCAAAUGGGUUUGAUAGAAGGAAAAUUUUGUGUGGAAAAGGUCUAAAUGAAAGGAAGAGAUUUGACCUGUUUGAAAAGGACAUCUGGCAUGUGUAUAUGUUGUUACAUUUCGAAAAGUUUGCAGCCAUAUGGAAUAACUGUCUUAUUUUUACUAAAUUAUGUUUAAUUUUUUUUUCAAUCACGUAUAGAUUUCAAACGUUUUAAAAAAAAUAUCCAUAUGUAACGAUUUAAUAACAUUUGUCAAAAGCCUUAAAGAGAAAAAAAAUAUAUAUGUAUAUAUAAUUUGUGAGGUUUGCAUAGUUUAAUCAAUGAAA